rnacentral:rRNA from 1 species
GAUGAACGCUGGCGGCGUGCCUAAUACAUGCAAGUCGAGCGAACAGACGAGGAGCUUGCUCCUCUUACGUUAGCGGCGGACGGGUGAGUACCACGUGGAUAACCUACCUAUAAGACUGGGAUAACUUCGGGAAACCGGAUCUAAUACCGGAUAAUAUAUUGAACCGCAGGGUUCAAUAGUGAAAGACGGUUUUGCUGUCACUAAUAGAUGGAUCCGCGCCGCAUUAGCUAGUGGGUAAGGUAACGGCGUACCAAGGCAACGAUGCGUAGCCGACCUGAGAGGAUGAUCAGCCACACUGGAACUGAGACACGGUCCAGACUCCUACGGGAGGCAGCAGUAGGGAAUCUUCCACAAUGGGCGAAAGCCUGACGGAGCCACGCCGCGUGAGUGAUGAAGGUCUUCGGAUCGUAAAGCUCUGUUAUUUGGGAAGAACAAAUGUGUGAGUAACUAUGCACGUCUUGACGGUACCUAAUGAGAAAGCCACGGCUAACUACGUG